AUUGAGCGCUGGCGGCAUGCCUUACACAUGCAAGUCGAACGGCAGCACGGGAGCAAUCCUGGUGGCGAGUGGCGAACGGGUGAGUAAUGUAUCGGAACGUACCUUUCAGUGGGGGAUAACGUAGCGAAAGUUACGCUAAUACCGCAUAUUCUGUGAGCAGGAAAGCAGGGGAUCGCAAGACCUUGCGCUGAUUGAGCGGCCGAUAUCAGAUUAGCUAGUUGGUGAGGUAAAGGCUCACCAAGGCGACGAUCUGUAGCGGGUCUGAGAGGAUGAUCCGCCACACUGGAACUGAGACACGGUCCAGACUCCUACGGGAGGCAGCAGUGGGGAAUUUUGGACAAUGGGCGCAAGCCUGAUCCAGCCAUGCCGCGUGAGUGAAGAAGGCC
rnacentral:rRNA from 1 species